rnacentral:rRNA from 1 species
UACAGAGGGUGCAAGCGUUAAUCGGAUUUACUGGGCGUAAAGCGUGCGUAGGCGGUUCGCUAAGUCGGUUGUGAAAUCCCUGGGCUUAACCUGGGAACUGCAGUCGAUACUGGCGGACUAGAGUACGGUAGAGGGUGGCGGAACUCCGGGUGUAGCGGUGAAAUGCGUAGAUAUCCGGAAGAACACCGAUGGCGAAGGCGGAUCUCUGGGCCUUACCUGACGCUGAGGCGCGAAAGCUAGGGGAGCGAACAGG